GGAUGCGGUCGUACCAGCAUUGAUGCACCUGAUCCCAUAGCAUCCAUGCACCGGUUCCCAUCAAAACUUUGAAGUUAAGCGUGUUUGAGCAAGAGUAGUACUAAGAUCAGUGACAUCCUAGGAAAUCCUCGUGCCACUUUUA
rnacentral:rRNA from 1 species